rnacentral:rRNA from 1 species
UUGGAGGGCAAGUCUGGUGCCAGCAGCCGCGGUAAUUCCAGCUCCAAUAGCGUAUAUUAAAGUUGUUGCAGUUAAAAAGCUCGUAGUUGAAUUUCGGGAUCAGUUGAUCGGUCGUGCCUCGGUACGUACUGGUCAAAUUGAUUCCUACCUUCUGACGAACCACGAUGUCAUUAAUUUGGUGUCGUGGGAAGUCAGGACUGUUACUUUGAAAAAAUUAGAGUGUUUAAAGCAGACUCGCGCUUGAAUACAUUAGCAUGGAAUAAUGAAAUAGGACGUUUGAUUCUAUUUUGUUGGUUUCUAGGAUCGACGUAAUGAUUAAUAGGGAUAGUUGGGGGCAUUAGUAUUCAAUUGUCAGAGGUGAAAUUCUUGGAUUUAUUGAAGACUAACUACUGCGAAAGCAUUUGCCAAGGAUGUUUUCAUUAAUCAAGAACGAAAGUUGGGUGAUCGAAGACGAUCAGAUACCGUCGUAGUCUUAACCAUAAACUAUGCCGACUAGGGAUCGGAUGAUGUUAAUUUUUUAAUGACUCAUUCGGCGCCUUACGGGAAACCAAAGUGUUUGGGUUC